GCCAUGAUCCAAUCCAUUUGGUAUGGUAAAAAAUAUAGACUUGAUCAAGCUACAACUAUUGAGGUUGAUCUAUAAAAUUCUGACCUAAUCUAAUUCAACUCUUGAUUUGAUUUAAUCAAUUUCUCUAAGUAAUCUAUAUUUAUUUCUAACUCUAAGUCUAAUCCAAUUAGAGGACCUGAUCUAAGCUAAUCCACAGGCCA
rnacentral:lncRNA from 1 species